rnacentral:rRNA from 1 species
CCUACGGGAGGCAGCAGUGGGGAAUAUUGCGCAAUGGGCGAAAGCCUGACGCAGCGACGCCGCGUGAGGGAUGAAGGUCUUCGGAUCGUAAACCUCUGUCAGCAGGGAAGAACGGUCACUGUGCUAAUCAGCAGUGAAUUGACGGUACCUGCAAAGGAAGCACCGGCUCACUCCGUGCCAGCAGCCGCGGUAAUACGGAGGGUGCGAGCGUUAAUGGGAAUUACUGGGCGUAAAGCGCUCGUAGGCGGUAUGUCAAGUCAAGGGUGAAAGCCCCGGGCUCAACGUGGGAACUGCAUUUGAUACUGGCAAACUGGAGUGUGUGAGAGGAUAGUGGAAUUCCAGGUGUAGGAGUGAAAUCCGUAGAUAUCUGGAGGAACAUCAGUGGCGAAGGCGACUAUCUGGCACAUAACUGACGCUGAGGAGCGAAAGCGUGGGUAGCAAACAGGAUUAGAUACCCUAGUAGUC